AUACAGUCCUAGAGCUAGAACUGGGGGCUUAGCGACUAUCAGGCAGGCACUCCACCCCGUGAGCUGCAUCGCCAGCCUCUCUGUUGACUCUUUGAAGGGAAGAAGCCAAGGAGGAAUUCUAUUGCACAACAGGCAACAAAGUUUCUAAAAACUUGUCUUUCCAAAUUCCUCUCCUCAGAAUUAAACUCCCACAGCUGCUGUUUCUCUCUGCUUCUCUUUCUCCCCCUUUUCUGCAGUCCUCAGACUUGCUUUUCUCAGUUUCUCUCUCAUCUCCAGGGACAACCGACUGCUGCCGACAAACCCUGCAGAGGACCCAGCAGCCUGCUCUCACCAGGCUGAUAUCCCUGACGUGUUUCCAAGGAGUACACACAACCCACUCUCCCCAGAAUGGCUAUUGCUGACCAAAUGCAAAAAGACUGUCCACCCAUGCUCCUUGUGGAUUACUACAUACAUCCAUGCUCUGUAUGGCUCACCUACACCCUUGACCUUGGUGAUCCAUUCAGUUCUUCAUCACUGGAACGAUUCAGGAAGAAGGACAGACACAUCAGGAACUCUUGGUGUCUAAGACUUAGUGACUGCAAAUAUUUCUGCCCCUAUCUAUCCCUUCAGCUAUAACCAACUAAUAAUCAAUAUCGUUAUCAGACUUCCUCCCUCCUUCCUUCUCUCCCUCUUACCCUUCCUCCCACCCACAACCCCUUCAUAAAACUAAGAACCAAGUAAUCUCAUCUCACAAACCCUGAGAGGGGAGAUGGUUCUGAGGAGUGCUUGCCUAGCAUCUGCGAAGCUCUAGAUGAUCUCCAGCACCACCUUACCAACUAUGAUGGUGCUCACCUGUAGCGUACUUGUGAGAUGGAAGGAGGUCGUCACCCUUGACUAUGAAUCUAGUUCAAGGUCAACCUGAGAUUCACAAGAGGCUAUGCCGGUAAAAUAAGAUGAAUGGAAACUAAAUUGAGGAAGGUAUUGCCCGGUGUUAGCUAAUUUUUGCGAAUCCAUUUGUGGAGCACUUUAGUUUGUGUGAACAGCCCUCUGACUCAUCCUAUGAAUUAGAAAAACCAAGCGCGAGAGAUUAAACUGCCUAGAACAAUCCCCGAAGGGCUUAUUUGUGUGUCUGUGGCCAGAUGCAAGCAUGUGAACUACGUGAGGAUGAGCAAAUGAAUCAGUUCCUAGAUUUAAAAAAAAAAAAGUGGCAGAGACCCACUCAGGAACAAGCACGCAACGGGCGUUCACCUCUUCGGGCAGCAACGCUAGAAACACCGCUCCACAGUCCUACCCUAAAGGAUCCAAGAACUUCAGGGCCUAAAAACCGGUGUGCAUGCACUCUUCACCAACCACAGUACUAUGUGUGUGCAGGGUGGAAGGCGCACAGGCGAGGAACUGUGCAGCAACUAAAAACUUGUUUGACAGCGCUGCGCCCGAUCACCCAAUUCCUUUCCAGGCCCACCGCAGCCCGGGCCCCCAGCCCGCUCCGCUCCCUCAGGCUGUAACUCCGGGCCACGUUUUCGCGUUCACUCUCCCGCCCCCCUCCCCGCCCCCCUCCGCCAACACCGGGUUACUGCUCCCCCGCCAGGAGUAAACAAGCCGCCGGAGCCCGCAGCCAGUAGGCCGGGCCCCUGAGCCCAGUUUCCUGCGCCAGCCCUAGCAACAGUCUCCGCCCCCACGACAGACCCCGCCCGCAUGCCUUCUUCCACUCCCCCCUCCCCCAAACCCCCACCCCUCUAUUCCUUCUCUGGCCCGGUCCCUGAGCACUAGAGGCCGGGAGCCUCCAGCCAGCCUCCUCCCAAGGGACCGCCCCGCCCACGCGCCCGCGCCCACGUGACUCGCACUAAGGGCGGGAGAGAAAACGGAGCUGGAGGCGUGGCCAGAUCCCGCCCCGCUCCUCCCUGCGGCCUUCGCGGCCUGGCUCCGCUCCAGCCUUCUAGCUGGGCUGGGUUUCGUGGCGGCAUGGAUACCGCUGCUGUUUCUGCAGGCGUAGCGCGCUCCGCUCCAUCUUCCCCUAUAGCCUUCGCUCGGCGGAAGCUUUUAAAAAAUUUUCUGCCUGAGCCCCAGAACCGACCUUUCGGUCCUUAAACGUAUGCAUUCUGGCUGUGUAAACGCGCCGUAAACGCGCCCCCCUGCGCAGUCAGGGCGGCUCACUAGUCGCUCUUUCCUAGAAGGUGAGCGAACCUGAGGUUCAGGACAGAGAAGAGAUCCACUGUGGAGGAGACUCCACCUCCUGUUGCUUCUCUGCCUGGUCUCUUCCUGCACUUCAGGGUCAAAAGACUGACCACUCCAAACCUGCAACCCAGUCCAGUCAGCCAGCACCCUCUCAGCCCCCCACAUCAUCCGGGGACAGCACGUCUGCUAAUGGAGCUAGGCACAGCUGGCCAAGAAAGGUGGGGAACCUUCCCGGCAGUACUUUCUUGUGCCUGUGACAAGAGAAAGGACUGAACAGGUCAGAAUUUAGCAGCCCGCUUCUCCUCCUACUUGGGCAAAUCAUUUGACUUCUCUUUGCUGUAUUCCAGAGAUGACUUAUACCCCAGAGGAGUGACGGUAACUACCUAAUAGAGAUGUUGCACAGAUUAAUGCUAGUAGAUCAGGUGUUCAGUAGAUCAGGCAUCCAAGCUAAUAAAAAAAAGAUCACUUAGGACUGGUCA